rnacentral:lncRNA from 1 species
CUCGGAUAUUCCGACGAUUCUUGGCUCCGUCUGGAUUUCCGUCGGAUUUCGCCUAGUUUUCUUGUAGUGGGUACCCAUCGAGAUAUGAUUGGGAUGUAUGUGGCAGAGAUUAAGUCAGAAGAUCCUGGAAGUCAAUUGUGGGAAACGAGAUGAAUGUGGUCCUUAGUUUGAAGGGGAAAAUGUGAGAUAUCAAACAAAGUCCCACAUUAAAAAUUAGACAAAGGAGAAUCUAAUAUAUAAAGAGAUGUUCAACUCUAAUUAGUACGAGACCUUUUCGGAAGGAACCCAAAAGUAAAUCCAUGCGGGCUGUCUUUAUGGCCCAAAAGUGGACAAUAUCAUACUAAUCAGAUAAUAGAGAGUUGGACAUGGGCUUUCACAAUCCCAACAAAUGUGUGGGGGAGAAUAACAUGACAAUUAGAGUAUAAGGUCAAAAGCACCUAAAACUAUUCCAAAUGAAAGACGGAUGAACCAUCAACGUAUACGUUUAUUGUCCACAUAUUCAUAUGCACCGAGUGUUCUAUUCCAUAUCACUAAAAUAGUAUAGGAUUAUAACCUCACCUACAACUCCUAAAUAGUAAACCCUAAAUCCAAAUAUAAACCAUAAACCCAAAUAUAAACCAUAAAUCCAAAUAUAAACCAUAAAUUCAAAUAGAAUGGAACAAAAUAAAUGAUAUAAUACAUAUUGGUGAAAUUAUGAAAUGUCUAUGAUUCCAUAGAAGAAGUUAAUGCCGACCCCAACCAUACCCCCUCACUUUAUAAAUGCGAAACCCUAAACUCUAAUCACUAAACUCUAACCCAAAUAUAAACCCUAGAC